CGGUUCGGCAGUUCCACCUGCACCCCUGCGCUCCCACUUGCUGCACUGCCGGGGGCGCCAUUUGUGUGGGCUUGCCCCCGUUUGCUGUUGGCCCCACGGGAAGGAACAGACCCUUUGGCCGAGGGGGCAUCGACCACCGAGCGGUGGGCUGAAGGGGGACUGCUGCCUGCAUAGCUCU
rnacentral:SRP_RNA from 12 species